rnacentral:misc_RNA from 1 species
CUAGUACGGCGAGUGAGCGGCAACAGCUCAAAUUUGAAAUCUGGCGCAAGCCCGAGUUGUAAUUUGUAGAGGAUGUUUCGGCGUCGGCCCCGUCCUAAGUUCCUUGGAACAGGACGUCCUAGAGGGUGAGAACCCCGUCUUCGGUCGGGUCGCCGUCGCCAUGUGAAACUCCUUCGACGAGUCGAGUUGUUUGGGAAUGCAGCUCUAAGCGGGAGGUAAAUUUCUUCUAAAGCUAAAUAACGGCCAGAGACCGAUAGCGCACAAGUAGAGUGAUCGAAAGAUGAAAAGCACUUUGGAAAGAGAGUUAAAAAGCACGUGAAAUUGUUAAUAGGGAAGCUCAAGCUGCCAGACUUGGCCUCGGCUCUUCGGUGCCGAGGGCAGGCCAGCAUCAGUUCGGGCGGCCUGAUAAAGACCCCGGGAAUGUAGCUCCUCCGGGAGUGUUAUAGCCUGGGGUGUAAUGUGGCCAGCCUGAUAGUGACGA